UUAGCUUGCUUUUGAGAUCAGCGGCGGACGGGUGAGUAACACGUGGGCAACCUGCCUGUAAGACUGGGAUAACUUCGGGAAACCGGAGCUAAUACCGGAUAAUCCUUUCCCUCACAUGAGGGAAAGCUGAAAGACGGUUUCGGCUGUCACUUACAGAUGGGCCCGCGGCGCAUUAGCUAGUUGGUGAGGUAACGGCUCACCAAGGCAACGAUGCGUAGCCGACCUGAGAGGGUGAUCGGCCACACUGGGACUGAGACACGGCCCAGACUCCUACGGGAGGCAGCAGUAGGGAAUCUUCCGCAAUGGACGAAAGUCUGACGGAGCAACGCCGCGUGAGCGAUGAAGGCCUUCGGGUCGUAAAGCUCUGUUGUCAGGGAAGAACAAGUACCGGAGUAACUGCCGGUACCUUGACGGUACCUGACCAGAAAGCCACGGCUAACUACGUGCCAGCAGCCGCGGUAAUACGUAGGUGGCAAGCGUUGUCCGGAAUUAUUGGGCGUAAAGCGCGCGCAGGCGGUUCCUUAAGUCUGAUGUGAAAGCCCCCGGCUCAACCGGGGAGG
rnacentral:rRNA from 2 species